CUAAGUGGAAGUGGGUGGGGUCCCCCGGGACCCUGCUUAAGAUAUAGUCGGGCCACCUGGGAGACCAGGUGGGAAGUACACCGCUACGAACCGUUCCGUAGGUGAACCUGCGGAAGGAUCAUUACCGAGUGAGGGUCCCCUCUGGGGGCCCAACCUCCCACCCGUGUCUACCGUACCAUGUUGCUUCGGCGGGCGCGCCCGUGCCCGCCGGAGACCCCUUGAACGCUGUUGUGAAUUAGGUUGUYUGAGUGAGAUUGCAAACUGUCAAAACUUUCAACAACGGAUCUYUUGGUUCCGGCAUCGAUGAAGAACGCAGCGAAAUGCGAUAAGUAAUGUGAAUUGCAGAAUUCCGUGAAUCAUCGAAUCUUUGAACGCACAUUGCGCCCCCCGGCAUUCCGGGGGGCAUGCCUGUCCGAGCGUCAUUGCCACCCCUCAAGCACGGCUUGUGUGUUGGGCCGCCGUCCCCCCCGACCCCGGGGGGGACGGGCCCGAAAGGCAGCGGCGGCACCGCGUCCGGUCCUCGAGCGUAUGGGGCUCUGUCACCCGGUCCGGAGGCCUGGCCGGCGCCUGCCCACCCGUCGAUCUUCCAGGUUGACCUC
rnacentral:rRNA from 1 species